rnacentral:rRNA from 2 species
AAGUAACUGUUCACGCUAGUGACGGUAUUUAACCCAGAAAGCACGGCUAACUACGUGCCAGCAGCCGCGGUAAUACGUAGGUGGCAAGCGUUGUCCGGAUUUAUUGGGCGUAAAGCGAGCGCAGGCGGUUUUUUAAGUCUAAUGUGAAAGCGUUCGGCUCAACCGAAGAAGUGCAUCGGAAACUGGGAGACUUGAGUGCAGAAGAGGACAGUGGAACUCCAUGUGUAGCGGUGAAAUGCGUAGAUAUAUGGAAGAACACCAGUGGCGAAGGCGGCUGUCUGGUCUGUAACUGACGCUGAGGCUCGAAAGCAUGGGUAGCGAACAGGAUUAGAUACCCUGGUAGUCCAUACCGUAAACGAUGAAUACUAAGUGUUGGAGGGUUUCCGCCCUUCAGUGCUGCAGCUAACGCAUUAAGCAAUCCGCCUGGGGAGUACGGCCGCAAGGUUGAAACUCAAAAGAAUUGACGGGGGCCCGCACAAGCGGUGGAGCAUGUGGUUUAAUUCGAAGCUACGCGAAGAACCUUACCAGGUCUUGACAUCUUAUGCCAAUCUAAGAGAUUAGACGUUCCCUUCGGGGACAGAAUGACAGGUGGUGCAUGGUUGUCGUCAGCUCGUGUCGUGAGAUGUUGGGUUAAGUCCCGCAACGAGCGCAACCCUUAUUAUUAGUUGCCAGCAUUAAGUUGGGCACUCUGGUGAGACUGCCGGUGACAAACCGGAGGAAGGUGGGGAUGACGUCAAAUCAUCAUGCCCCUUAUGACCUGGGCUACACACGUGCUACAAUGGAUGGUACAACGAGUUGCGAAAUCGCGAGAUUAAGCUAAUCUCUUAAAACCAUUCUCAGUUCGGAUUGUAGGCUGCAACUCGCCUACAUGAAGUCGGAAUCGCUAGUAAUCGCGGAUCAGCAUGCCGCGGUGAAUACGUUCCCGGGCCUUGUACACACCGCCCGUCACACCAUGAGAGUUUGUAACACCCAAAGCCGGUGGGGUAACCUUUUAGGAACCAGCCGUCUAAGGUGGGACAGAUGAUUAGGGUGAAGUCGAACAGUCUGCAUCGCCCUGCUUCAACCCCC